rnacentral:tRNA from 2 species
GGGCCGUUAGCUCAGUGGUAGAGCAGGAGCCUUUUAAGCUCUUGGUCGUGGGUUCGAAUCCCUCACGGCUCACCU